UAUAAAAUGCAAUAACGUUUAUUCCGCGUAGUCUCGCUUUUUAACGAUUUAUUAAAAAUCUCUGACUUAUAGAAAAAGGCAGGUCUAUAUAUGACAUCUCAAAUGUCGUACGAUACCUAUAUUAUUCACUUUUAAAUUCGAUACGAACUAGUUUAUUUUUCAAAGAUAAUGUUGUUCACUCCAGUUCGGUAUAAAGUUUAUUACAAAGUUCGAGGAUUAGCACAUAUUGGUAAACAUAAGGUUUAUUAUCCUAUUCAACGAAGAGAUAUCAUUGAUCAAUGGAAUAGAUUAGAUUGUGAAAUGGAGACAAUGAAACACCUUAGCACACCUUAUUUAUCUGAGAAACAAGAAAUGUAUUAUUUGGAAAACAUAAAAGCAAAUAAAUUAUUAAAUGAAAUUAAAGCAAAAUACAAAUCUAAUUUUGUUAAACAUAAAUAUAUUGUAACACAAUUACAAAGUUUAUAUGAAAGUAAAAAGUGGGAAUAAAAUUUAUAACUUAUAUCUUUAAUUUAAGAAAAUAGAAUCAUCUAUUAUAUAUGAUUGCAUUAAAUUAUAAUAUAUAUUUGUUUAAAAUUCCUGACCCCAGAAAUUUUAUAAUUUAAGUUAUAUUAAGUUUUCCUUUAGUGAAUUCUACAAAAAUAAACAAUCUUUGACCUGACCAUUUUAGUUGUUUUUGAUAUUUAUGAUUUUUGAUUUCCUAAGGAUGGCAGGGGCUAAGAUAUAGGUGUUCAAAGUGCAAAAUAUUAUCAAAUCUUGAAAUGCAAAUAAUAGCUUUUUAUUAUUAUGAAAAAAUAAAUUGUCACAAAAAUAUUAAGAGCAAAUAAUGGAAGUUAAUAUAGAAGAAAAUUGGUAUUUAUUUCUCUUUGAUUUAUAUAUACAUUAGAUCAGCACUGAUAUUGGGCUUUUAGAAAAUAUCAGGGCUGUGAACCCUGAACCAGCAGAGUUGGGCAGGUCCUCCUGAAAAAGAAUCUAGAUACAGAUACAGAUUCUUUAUAAAAAAAGGAAUCUUAGAUACAGAUACUAGUAUCUUGUUCAAAAUAUCAAAAAGAUAAAAGAUUCUUGUAUCUUUUACUAAAUUAGAGUAUCUUAAAUACAAGAUACCUUCAAAUUAUCAUUACCAAUUAAAUUAGA